UAGACCAGGGAGGAAUAACCUGAAGGGCUUGGAUGAAGGAAGGGGAGAGUUUGGAUCAGACUGUACCUUGGGCUUACGUCCCAAGGAAACUGGUGGUGAUACCAGAUAGGUAAAGGACUGGUUACACUGUCUCAAGUGAAUGUGGGACAGUCCACACACUAAGAGCUCAAACAUGGAAGAGGACAGAUAAUCCCAUGAGUUGGUUCCCUUAGCCAUCAAAUACUUCAGACAGAGAGCUUCACUGAUUGGACCUCCCUAGGUCACAAGCCCACCAUGGAAACCAGGGCAAUGGCGGCCCGCUGAAGGCCACGUCAGGUACUGUGAACCUUAUCCUAAGGGCAAUGGGAAACCAUUGAAAGGCCUUAAACAGGGAGUGAGAUCAUCAGAUGUGCCAUUUUAGAAACAUCACUCUGGUUGGCUGGACUCAGCAAGACCCAUCAGGAGGCAGUUGCACUCAUCCAGGUAAGAGGUGACGAAAGUAUGAGCCAAGAUGAAAAAUGUAGAUGAAAAAUUUAGAAGGUAGAAUCCAUAGGGCAUGGUUAUUGAAUGCUAGGGUGAAGGAAAAGAUGAAAGUAGAGAUGGUACCAGGUUUCUGGCUUCUAGGUGGAGGGUGGUGCUAUUCACUGAAGGAGGAUGAAAAGGAGAUUUGCG
rnacentral:lncRNA from 1 species